UUGGCACAUGAUUCAUUGCUUCUAUAGUAUGCAUUCAGUGGUUGUGAACUGUGUAAAUAUAUUGCUACAAGUGACGCAGAUGGGACAUGUUGUCUAGCAAUGGAUAUUGGAAGAGAAAAAAAUCAAAUUAAUUGUACUGGUGAGGCAGAAACAGGUAUAACAUGAAGAAUCUGAAGCCCUGAGAAGUUGUGCCUUGCCUCAGACCACAGAGGAAAAUAAGUGGCCAAGCUUGGAUUCAUACUCAGGUCCCAUGAACUCCAUAUCACCUUUAGCAUCAUAGAUUUAGAGCCAGAGACUCUAUCUGAAGCCCAUGUUUGUUUGUUUUUUUGUUUUUUGAUACUUAGCCUUUAACAUAAUUGAUUACCUAUAUAAUUUUAUAUUUACACAUUUAAAAUUAUUCUGAUAAGCGUUCAUCAGAUUGUCAAAAGUGUCUAUGAUACACAACAAAAUCCCAAGAAUUUUUGAACAUUAGAAGGGGCUUUAAUGGCCUUUGAAUCUAACAACUUAAUUUCAUAGGGUGAGGAAACUGAGAUACAUAAGUAUUACAUGACUUGCCUAGGGAAGUGGUCUUUGAUCCCUAUUCUUCUUGGCUCCAAGUCCUAUGCCUUAUUCUCCAUAAAUGUCCUAAAAAUAAUUGCUUGUUUCCAACUCUCUGUUUAUGUAGGUAUAUAUCUAUGCUUCUGCCCAAGUCUGAGCAAAAUUCCUCAACCUGAAAUGAAAGUGACCUGAGAUUCUUGAAGCUAGGCCAAUGGAACACAGGUCCAAUUAUGUUGAAAUAAUUUUGAAUAUAGAUUCAGUAUUUUAUUUUUAUCCAUUUUAAUUAUGAGCUUAUAAUGACAAUAUAUACUACAAGAUUGUAAGCAAUAUUUUAAAAGUAAGAAACCCAUCAAUAGUAAUUUCAAAGAGUAUGGGAGUAUUUUAUGUAUAUUAUGCAAGAACCAUUGUCUGCAGAGAUAUCACCAGGUUAAUCAGAGAUGUCACAUGUUUUUGAACAUGAAAAAUCUGAGGGUAUUUAUGUAAAGAAAGUUUGUGAUCUGACCAAGUGGAAGGAGUACUGAUGCUCACUUUUUUUUUAAUUAGAAUUUUUUGUUUGCAGUAUUUAAACAUGUAUUGAUAUGUGAUAGUAUAGAUGCAUGUAUAUAUGUGUACAUACUUACUAUACUAAUAUGAUCAUAUCUCUUUCUGCUUGCAAAGUUUUAGUGAUUCCCUAUUCCAUAUAAGUUAAAAUAUAUACUCUUUAGCCUGGCUUUCCUGCCCCUGCCCCUUAUUUCCUUAUAUGGGAAAACACAAAGCAAUUCCAGUUUCCUGAGGCUUUGUUACUGAGCUCAUCUAAUGACACUAUGGCACUAAGUCAGCAUCUUUUGUAAUGUGUUUACUAGUUGCUUCAUUUUAUUGGCUCUCUAGAUGUCCUUUUGGACCAGCCCUUACAUGAACAGUUCUCAUUCCUAGAGCAUGCAGCGUGACUGCACAGUUUUGGUGAAGAUAAUGAGAGGGCCUUUAAAGGCCAACUUGAGAAAGAAGGGACUGCUUCAGCACAUUUUUACUGCUGAUGUAACUGCUUCUUUUUAUUUUUAUCAAUAAAACAUCACAUCACUCCCAA